rnacentral:rRNA from 1 species
AUUGAACGCUGGCGGCAGGCCUAACACAUGCAAGUCGAGCGAGCGGCGGACGGGUGAGGAAUAUAUGGGGAAUGCCCGAUAGAGAGGGAUAAAUACAGGAGAAGGUAGGUAAUAUCGCAUACAAUCGGAUAACCCCUAUGGGUUUGGCUGGUGGGUGGGGUAAUGGCCCACCUAGGCGACGAGCCCUAGCUGGUCUUGGAGGCGGAUCAGCCACACUGGGACUGAGACACGGCCACGACUCCUACGGAGGCAGCAGUGGGGAAUAUUGCACAAUGGGCGCAAGCCUGAUGCAGCCAUGCCGCUUGUAUGAAGAAGGCCUUAGGGUUGUAAAGUACUUUCAGUCGGGAGGCGUUACCGACAGAAGAAGCACCGGCUAACUCCGUGCCAGCAGCCGCGGUAAUUC